ACUUAAAAGUCCAAUCUCAUUUCAUCUUCAUUCUCGAACCACAAAGCAAAAACAAUGCAGACAUCUUACCCUUUCAACUCUCUCUCGAUUUCUUUUCUUUGCACAGACAACACACCAUCUUUUUUUUUUGUCUGCUCUCUCCCCCACUCGAUCUCUAUAAGGUAAUCACCACCAAAUCCAUUCAACACUCAUAUUCCCCACACACCACAGCCUCUCUAUCCCUCCCUCUGACUACAUGCCGGCGGCCGGAAUAACCGGCGGAGCCAUGCUCCGGUCAUCUUGUUCUCCGGGGUUCAGUUCACCGACAAACACCCACCUUCUCCCUUCUGACUGACGGACGGCUGACCACCGCCACCACAGCCGUCUGGUGGCGGCGUGGUGACAAGACAGAGAGUGGCGUAAGAGGGAGAGAGCGGCGGAGAUUAGGAGCAGCGCCGCCGUCCACGGCAGCGGCGGUCGGCGUCUUGGUCCGGCGGUCUGCGUCAAGGUCCGGCGGUCUUUGUCAUUAUCCGACGGGUUUUUGUUCGGAAGUCCCGGUCCGGGUCAGAUCGAUUACAGGUGACCGACUCAGCUCCGGAGACGGCUGUGGAGAGUGAUGGUGAUUAUGUUCAGGUCUGAGUCAUGGUUCCUUUCUUCUCAUUCUCCUUUAGAUCCGGCUCGAGUUCAGGAAUGUGACUCCCGUUUCGGGUCAUGGCUCGAGGUUUGAUUCUGAUGUGGUUUUUGGUUCGUCUUUCGGUUCAACAGGAUUUAGUUACGUUCGGUUCGGGAGUUCCGGGUCAGAUUUAACGGCUCUCGGUUCGGUCAACGAUGGUCAACGGGUCAGUUGGGUUCGGGUCAGCUGGUCAACGUUCAAGGAGGGUCAAGUCGACAGGAUUUCGGGUUCGGUUGGCUCAGAUUUGGUGUUCGAGUCAACCGAGUCAACCCGGUCAAACCUGGUAAACUCAGCGAGUCAACUCGGUCAACCCGGUUGACUCGGUCAACCCGGUCAACUCAGUCAACGAAAGCGGCACGAAAGACUUGAUAAUAGCGAAUGUGAGUUUCAGAAACACGGUCACUAGAGAAUGCUACUGCGCAGGCAGGAAAGCGGUUACUGUCAGAUGGAAGUUUAUGAAGCAAGAGAGACGUUUGUUCUCUUGUAUUGUUUAAUGUACUUUGAUUGAUGCAGAUAUUGUGCUGGACAACUGUGCGAUUUGUAGAAAUCAUAUUAUGGAUCUAUGUAUCGAGUGUCAAGCUAAUCAGGCUAGCUCUACUAGCGAAGAGUGUACUGUUGCUUGGGGUAUGCCGGUAUCUUUUUGUUCACUGUGAUAAUGAUCCUGCACCAUGGACAAGCUUGCGUAAGUCCAGCUGAUACCAACGCAGAAGAAACACUAAACACCUUGAAGUAUGCCAAUCGAGCUCGUAACAUACCAAACAAAGCUAUUGUUAAUCGUGAUCCAGUCACAGCUCAAAUGCAAAGAAAGACAAGUUACUGCUUAAAAUUGAAUCUGCACGUGGUGGCAAACCAUGGGAUGAGAUAGACUGUGACUCGAAUAAGGUUCUUGGCUAUUAUCAAUCGAAAAACCGGCCUCGAGAAUCACGUUCUAGAGUGUUGAAGCUCGAUUUAGAAUCCGUUAGAAUCCGUAAUGCAUGAUACUAAAAUUACCGAUGUCCCACUUCAAUUAACUAUAUCUCAAAUAUCGGUCCUUGACCGAUUUCCAAUUUUUUACCGCAUUAACGGCAUAGAUUCUGUUACAGAUUUGUGUGGCCACGUGACCUUUGUUAAGUGCGGUAUUGGCGCCGAAAUGAUGAUGGGAGUUAUGUUGGACUCUUUUGCUCUAGGGAGCAUGAGAACUGUGGCCCACAACCAGGAUACGUGCGCGCUCAUAUUGAGACUGUAAAGCAAGCUAAACACAGCAUGCUUGGAAGUCUAUAAAUACAACAUCAAUCUCAACACUCUACAAACACUCAACUGAGACGAAUUAAACCUUCAAAUUAAUAUCAAUACUCUUUGCAUCUGGAUCUUGCGUUGUUUCUCGGCUCUUCACAUCAAGGUUUUACAUUUUUUGUCGGCUUUUUACAUCUGGCUCUUGCAUUGUUGUAAGUUCUCUCACAUUUCUUGGUUACUUUUGUAACUUUUAACUGUAGUUUUUGCAUCUGUAUUGUUUAACUGUGGCUUUUUAUAUCUGUUAGUUUUGUAACAUGUAUUGUUUUAGUUUGUUUGUAUUGUAAAAUUGCAAAUUUACCCAUUAUGAUUUAUUUUCUUAAAAGUGUAUUAUAGAUUGACUCUUUUACCCUUAUUUCUAUUAAUACUUUUAAAAGUUUUCUAUAUUUUAAUAUUUAUCCAUUUUUAACUUUUUGUUUUUUUAACCAAAUUAUGUUUUUUUACCGUUGUAUAAUUGCAUACUACGAAUAAAAGUGAUUCAUCUUUCCUUUUUUGCUCUUGCAUCAAAGCAAUGAACAUGUGGACCAGAUUCUUAAAUUUUUUUUAUUAAUUUUAUGUUUUUUAACGAUUUCCAUAGAUUUGCUUUCUGCAUUCCUCUAGAUUUUGGAUCUGUCUUUUAUGGCUACUUUGAAAUCAAAGUCGAUGCUUUCUGCCACUUGUUUUGGAAUUUGGAACGGCCAUUGAAUCUCCUUUGAUUUCCAGAUGUCAAUCGGAUUGCUUUUUUUUUUUUGUUGUUGAAACCGAUUUGGGAAUUGAGUUGCAUGACAGAUCUUUGUUCUUGUUGUCGUUUUGGCUAUUGACUUUUUGAUUUCCGAAUAGUUUAGCUAUUAUGAAUUAAUUUGUUUACGAGCUUUAA